rnacentral:rRNA from 1 species
GACGAACGCUGGCGGCGUGCUUAACACAUGCAAGUCGAACGGAAAGGCCCUGCUUUUGUGGGGUGCUCGAGUGGCGAACGGGUGAGUAACACGUGAGUAACCUGCCCUUGACUUUGGGAUAACUUCAGGAAACUGGGGCUGAUACCGGAUAGGAGCUCCUGCUGCAUGGUGGGGGUUGGAAAGUUUCGGCGGUUGGGGAUGGACUCGCGGCUUAUCAGCUUGUUGGUGGGGUAGUGGCUUACCAAGGCUUUGACGGGUAGCCGGCCUGAGAGGGUGACCGGCCACAUUGGGACUGAGAUACGGCCCAGACUCCUACGGGAGGCAGCAGUGGGGAAUAUUGCACAAUGGGCGGAAGCCUGAUGCAGCAACGCCGCGUGCGGGAUGACGGCCUUCGGGUUGUAAACCGCUUUCGCCUGUGACGAAGCGUGAGUGACGGUAAUGGGUAAAGAAGGACCGGCUAACUACGUG